rnacentral:tRNA from 1 species
GACAGCUCAGCCCAUAGAGCAGAGGACUUGCAAUCCUAAAACUCUGGGUUCAAUCCCCAAUGUCA